UACGGAGGGGCUAGCGUUGUUCGGAAUUACUGGGCGUAAAGCGCGCGUAGGCGGACCUGCAAGUCGGGGGUGAAAGCCCGAGGCUCAACCUCGGAACUGCCUUCGAUACUGCGGGUCUCGAGUCCGGGAGAGGUGAGUGGAAUUCCUAGUGUAGAGGUGAAAUUCGUAGAUAUUAGGAAGAACACCAGUGGCGAAGGCGGCUCACUGGCCCGGUACUGACGCUGAGGCGCGAAAGCGUGGGGAGCAAACAGG
rnacentral:rRNA from 1 species